GACGAACGCUGGCGGCGUGCUUAACACAUGCAAGUCGAACGGAAAGGCCCUGCUUGCAGGGUACUCGAGUGGCGAACGGGUGAGUAACACGUGGGUGAUCUGCCCUGCACUUCGGGAUAAGCCUGGGAAACUGGGUCUAAUACCGGAUAGGAGCCAUUUUUAGCGUGAUGGUUGGAAAGUUUUUUCGGUGUAGGAUGAGCUCGCGGCCUAUCAGCUUGUUGGUGGGGUAAUGGCCUACCAAGGCGGCGACGGGUAGCCGGCCUGAGAGGGUGGACGGCCACAUUGGGACUGAGAUACGGCACAGACUCCUACGGGAGGCAGCAGUGGGGAAUAUUGCACAAUGGGCGCAAGCCUGAUGCAGCGACGCCGCGUGGGGGAUGACGGCCUUCGGGUUGUAAACUCCUUUCGCUAGGGACGAAGCUUUUUGUGACGGUACCUAGAUAAGAAGCACCGGCUAACUACGUG
rnacentral:rRNA from 1 species